CUACGGGUUGCUCCAGUGGGGAAUAUUGGGCAAUGGGCGCAAGCCUGACCCAGCAACGCCGCGUGAGGGAAGAAUGUCUUCGGAUUGUAAACCUCUGUCCUUGGGGACGAAAAAAAUGACGGUACCCAAGGAGGAAGCUCCGGCUAACUACGUGCCAGCAGCCGCGGUAAUACGUAGGGAGCAAGCGUUGUCCGGAAUUAUUGGGCGUAAAGGGUGCGUAGGCGGCGCUGUAAGUCAGAUGUGAAAUCCCCGGGCUUAACUCGGGAGUUGCAUUUGAAACUACAGUGCUUGAGUAAAGAAGGGGUAAAUGGAAUUCCUAGUGUAGCGGUGGAAUGCGUAGAUAUUAGGAGGAACACCAGUGGCGAAGGCGACUUACUGGUCUUUUACUGACGCUGAGGCACGAAAGCGUGGGGAGCAAACAGGAUUAGAUACCCGCGUAGUC
rnacentral:rRNA from 1 species